UACGUAGGGAGCGAGCGUUGUCCGGAAUUACUGGGCGUAAAGGGCGCGUAGGCGGGUGUUUAAGUCAGAUGUGAAAACUAUGGGCUCAACCCAUAGAUUGCAUUUGAAACUGGGCAUCUUGAGGGCAGGAGAGGAAAGUGGAAUUCCUAGUGUAGCGGUGAAAUGCGUAGAUAUUAGGAGGAACACCAGUGGCGAAGGCGACUUUCUGGACUGCACCUGACGCUGAGGCGCGAAAGCGUGGGUAGCGAACAGGAUUAGAUACC
rnacentral:rRNA from 1 species